UGGAUAUAUUCUUGUGAAACAGUUUUAUUGUUACUCAGUUUGAUUUGCCGGUAAAAAAGAGUGCGUGGUUUCCUGGUUUCCUGUUUUUAUGAUGUUAUGGUAACAUUCCUGUAUUGAAGUAUCCCGAUUAUAUUUGAUUUGGUAUCAAUUUUAUCCAGUGUCCUGUGGUUCAAAAUUGAAUGUCUCCCCUCCCAGCCCCGCUUAGAAUGGAAAAUUUUGGAUAAGUGUUUGAACGUGUGACAUGGAUUUUUGUUUUAAGUUUUAGAAUAGAAGAAAAUGUAAUGGCAUAGAAGCCAAUAAAGGUAAAUGAUAGCCCAGUAUAACCCCAACGAGGAAUCUACGAUGAAUGUCCCCCCAGUUGGUUUCCAGUAAGUACUCGAUAUGAGAAUUUGAGGAUUUUUUCAAACGGCGUCCCAAUUUGUUUAAAUAGUAGGAAAGUCCUCAAGUCUGUGUAAGUAUCCUUUGCUUAUUUGGUUAUGUAGUUAGUCUUCUUUAAACCCUCCUACCCCUCCCAGCGAAUCUACGACCCGCCACCGCACAAAAAAA
rnacentral:lncRNA from 1 species